rnacentral:rRNA from 1 species
UACGUAGGGGGCUAGCGUUGUCCGGAAUCAUUGGGCGUAAAGCGCGUGUAGGCGGCCCGAUAAGUCCGCAUGUGGAAAGUCCAGGGCUCAACCCUGGGAUGCCGGUGGAUACUGUCGGGCUCGAGUCCGGAAGAGGCGAGUGGAAUUCCCGGGUGAUAGCGGUGAAAUACGGCAGAUAUCAGGAGGAACACCGAGUGGCGAAGGCAGCUCGCUGGGACGGUACUGACGCUGGAGGCGACGAAAGCGUGGGGAGCGAACAGG